AACGAACGCUGGCGGCAUGCCUAACACAUGCAAGUCGAACGAGACCUUCGGGUCUGGUGUCGCACGUUUGCUUAAUGCGUUGUAACCUGCCCUUAGAUUCGGUAUAACUCCGCGAAGUGCGUGCUGAUACCUGAUAAUUUCUUUGGACCAAAGAUUUAUCGCCUUUGGGUGGGCCCGCGACGUAUUAGCUAGUUGGUAGGGUAAAAUCCUAUCAAGGCGACGAUCCAUAGCUGGUCUGAGAGGAUGAUCAGCAACACUGGGAAUGAGACACGGCCCAGACUCCGACGGGAGGCAGGAGUGGGGAAUAUUGGAAAACGAGCGACAGUCUGAUCCAGCAAUGCAGCGUGAGUGAUGAAGGCCUUAGGGUUGUAAAGCUCUUUUACCCGGGAUGCUACUGACAGUACCGGGAGCAUAAGCUCCGGCUAACUACGUG
rnacentral:rRNA from 1 species